UCCACUUUAACACUGAGGCGUGAUGACGAGGCACUACGGUGCUGAAGCAACAAAUGCCCUGCUUCCAGGAAAAGCCUCUAAGCAUCAGGUAACAUCAAAUCGUACCCCAAACCGACACAGGUGGUCAGGUAGAGAAUACCAAGGCGCUUGAGAGAACUCGGGUGAAGGAACUAGGCAAAAUGGUGCCGUAACUUCGGGAGAAGGCACGCUGACACGUAGGUGAAGUGAUUUACUCACGGAGCUGAAGUCAGUCGAAGAUACCAGCUGGCUGCAACUGUUUAUUAAAAACACAGCACUGUGCAAACACGAAAGUGGACGUAUACGGUGUGACGCCUGCCCGGUGCCGGAAGGUUAAUUGAUGGGGUCAGCGCAAGCGAAGCUCCUGAUCGAAGCCCCGGUAAACGGCGGCCGUAACUAUAACGGUCCUAAGGUAGCGAAAUUCCUUGUCGGGUAAGUUCCGACCUGCACGAAUGGCGUAAUGAUGGCCAGGCUGUCUCCACCCGAGACUCAGUGAAAUUGAACUCGCUGUGAAGAUGCAGUGUACCCGCGGCAAGACGGAAAGACCCCGUGAACCUUUACUAUAGCUUGACACUGAACAUUGAGCCUUGAUGUGUAGGAUAGGUGGGAGGCUUUGAAGCGUGGACGCCAGUCUGCGUGGAGCCGACCUUGAAAUACCACCCUUUAAUGUUUGAUGUUCUAACGUGGACCCGUAAUCCGGGUUGCGGACAGUGUCUGGUGGGUAGUUUGACUGGGGCGGUCUCCUCCUAAAGAGUAACGGAGGAGCACGAAGGUUGGCUAAUCCUGGUCGGACAUCAGGAGGUUAGUGCAAUGGCAUAAGCCAGCUUGACUGCGAGCGUGACGGCGCGAGCAGGUGCGAAAGCAGGUCAUAGUGAUCCGGUGGUUCUGAAUGGAAGGGCCAUCGCUCAACGGAUAAAAGGUACUCCGGGGAUAACAGGCUGAUACCGCCCAAGAGUUCAUAUCGACGGCGGUGUUUGGCACCUCGAUGUCGGCUCAUCACAUCCUGGGGCUGAAGUAGGUCCCAAGGGUAUGGCUGUUCGCCAUUUAAAGUGGUACGCGAGCUGGGUUUAGAACGUCGUGAGACAGUUCGGUCCCUAUCUGCCGUGGGCGCUGGAGAACUGAGGGGGGCUGCUCCUAGUACGAGAGGACCGGAGUGGACGCAUCACUGGUGUUCGGGUUGUCAUGCCAAUGGCACUGCCCGGUAGCUAAAUGCGGAAGAGAUAAGUGCUGAAAGCAUCUAAGCACGAAACUUGCCCCGAGAUGAGUUCUCCCUGAGACUUAGAGUCUCCUGAAGGAACGUUGAAGACGACGACGUUGAUAGGCCGGGUGUGUAAGCGCAGCGAUGCGUUGAGCUAACCGGUACUAAUGAACCGUGAGGCUU
rnacentral:rRNA from 1 species